rnacentral:pre_miRNA from 1 species
UUACCCUGAAAAACCGAGUUUGUGUCACGUGUUCAAUAAACACAGCUCAGUGUUCAGGGUCAUU